CAGCAUGCUAUCCUAAGGACCGGAGCUUAUUCGUAGCUCUAGGUUCUCCAAGUGCAUGCAAGAUAAUGGGGUAGUCUUUGACUGCUGUGGCCCUCUCUGCCAUCAGCGGUCACUCGCCUAUCCUACAGUG